GCAAGUCGCGCGAUCCUUCGGGAUAGCGGCGAACGGCUGCGUAAUACGUUGGAACCUGCCCUGGACUCAGGGAUAACCCGGGGAAACCCGGGCUAAUACCGGAUGGUCAUGUGCUUUGCACAUGUAAAGCUCCGGCGGUCCAGGAGGGGCCUGCGGCCUAUCAGCUUGUUGGUAAGGUAAUGGCUUACCAAGGCUAUGACGGGUAGCUGAUCUGAGAGGAUGAUC
rnacentral:rRNA from 1 species